rnacentral:snRNA from 1 species
GAAUGUGAGGGCGAUCUGGCUGUGACAUCUGUCACCCCACUGAUUGCCAGGGGUAACUGCACUGAUCUGGUUGGCUAGUGGGAGUCUACUUCCUCCCUCAUCGCUCCCAGAGCAUCCCUUCCAAAGCUGCACGCUGGGUUGAAGAGGAUAACCAUCUCUGAUAGAGGAGGACCGGUCUUGGGUCAAGGUCAAGGGUACAUAAAGUAGCUGUGCUCCCCUGCUAGAACUUCCAAACAAGCCCUCAAAAGAAAAUAAACUGUAAACAAAUAUUGAACUCUAGUUAAUAAUACGCCCACUGAAGUGUUUAGAAGUAUACCAGGCAUCUACAAUCGACUU